AUUGAACGCUGGCGGCAGGCCUAACACAUGCAAGUCGAGCGGAUGAAGGGAGCUUGCUCCUGGAUUCAGCGGCGGACGGGUGAGUAAUGCCUAGGAAUCUGCCUGGUAGUGGGGGAUAACGUCCGGAAACGGGCGCUAAUACCGCAUACGUCCUGAGGGAGAAAGUGGGGGAUCUUCGGACCUCACGCUAUCAGAUGAGCCUAGGUCGGAUUAGCUAGUUGGUGGGGUAAAGGCCUACCAAGGCGACGAUCCGUAACUGGUCUGAGAGGAUGAUCAGUCACACUGGAACUGAGAAACGGGCCAGACUCCUACGGGAGGCAGCAGUGGGGAAUAUUGGACAAUGGGCGAAAGCCUGAUCCAGCCAUGCCGCGUGUGUGAAGAAGGUCUUCGGAUUGUAAAGCACUUUAAGUUGGGAGGAAGGGCAGUAAGUUAAUACCUUGCUGUUUUGACGUUACCAACAGAAUAAGCACCGGCUAACUUCGUG
rnacentral:rRNA from 1 species